UCCAGGUCCCAGGGUGGCGCCCCGGCGA
rnacentral:sRNA from 1 species